GAAGGGGCGGGGCUACCGCUUGGCCACGCCUCCUGUGAGGUCAAGCCACGCCCACCCGGACCGGAAGGGGAGGGGCCUCGGCGAUGCCCCGCCCCCGCAGAGGAGGACGGCUCCCCAUUGGAGGACUGGGCAGGCCACGCCCCCUAUGAGGACAAGCCCCGCCCACCGCUGGGCGAGUGGGAGGGGCCUCGGCGAAGCCACGCCCCCACGAUGAAGCCACACCCGCUCGUGGGCCAAUGGGAGGGGCUCCAGGAGCAAGGCCACGCCCCCGUUGGAGGCAAGCCACGCCCACUAACGGACAGGCCACGCCCCCUGGAGGGGGAGGGCGGGCUGUGGGCGGGGCCUCGGGCCGCCCCGCCCCCCGCGGCCCAAGAUGGCCGCCGGCCCCCCGCGGAGGCCGCUGGCCAAUGGGGUGGCGGCGGGGCCGCGGGCGGCGCCCAAUCAGGGGGCUCCGGCCCGGGCAGGGGAGGCCGGCGAGGCCCCGGGAGGCCGCGGGAGGCCGGAGGAGGAGGAGGCGGCGGCCAAUGAGGGGCCGCGAUGCUGCGGGGGGUCGGCGGAGCCGGCCAAUGAGGAGCUGGGAGGCUGCCGGGGGGCGGCGGCGGCCAUCUUGGGGUCGCCGGAGGCCGGCGGGAGGUCGGCGGAGGCCGAGGCGAGGUCGGCGGAGGUCAAGGUGAGGUCAGCGGAGGCCCGCGGGGGGUCGGCGGCGGCCAAUGAGGAGCCGGGAGGGGACAGGAAGUGGACGGCGGCCAUCUUGGGGUCAACGGCGGCCAUCUUGGGGUCAACGGCGGCCAACGUGAGGUCAACGGCGGCCAACGUGAGGUCAACGGCGGCCAACGUGAGGUCAACGGAGGCCGGCGGGAGGUCGACGGAGGCUGGCAGGAGGUCGACGGAGGCCAACGAGGGGCCAGCGGAGGCCAAGGUGAGGCCAACGGCGGCCAGUUUAGGGUCAACGGCAGCCAAUGAGGUGGCAGGAAGGGACAGGAAGUCGACGGUGGCCACCUCGGGGUCAACGGCGGCCAACGUGAGGUCGAUGGAGGCCAGCGGGAGGUCGACAGAGGCCAACGAGGGGUCAACGGAGGCCAAUUUAGGGUCAGCGGAGGCCGCCGGGAGGUCACCGGCAGCCAAUGAGGCGUCAGAAGGCUGCGGGAGGCCAAUGGAGGCCAGCCCGGGGUCAACGGCGGCCAAUGAGGAGCCAGGAGCCAACAGGAAGUCAACGGAGGCCAACGGGACGUCGACGGAGGCCGAUGAGGAGCCAGGAGCCAAUGGGAGGCCAACGGAGACCAAUGAGGAUGGUGCAGCCUCCGCGGCGGCCAUCUUGGAGCCGAGGCCAGCCAAUGAGGGGCUGGAGAGCACCGCAACAUCAUCAGCGGCCAUCUUGGGGGCAACGGACACCACCGUGACGUCAUCGGCGGCCAUCUUGGAGGACACCGUCGUGACGUCAUCGGCGGCCAUCUUGGAGCCAGAGCCCGCCCCCGCCGCGGCGUCGGCCAUCUUGGCGGCAACGGACACCGCCGUGACGUCAACGUCGGCCAUCUUGGAGGCAACGGACACCACCGUGACGUCGACGGCAGCCCUCUUGGGGCCAACAGACACCGCCGCGACGUCGACGUCGGCCAUCUUGGCGACAACGGACGCCGCCACGACCUCAUCGGCGGCCAUCUUGGGCUCUCCGGUAGACCGCGGCCACCUGGAGGCCAAC
rnacentral:lncRNA from 1 species